rnacentral:rRNA from 1 species
AGAGUUUGAUCCUGGCUCAGAACGAACGCUGGCGGCGCGCCUAAUACAUGCAAGUCGAGCGAGAAGGUGUAGCAAUACACUUGUAAAGCGGCGAACGGGUGAGGAAUACAUGGGUAAUCUACCAUCGAGUGGGGAAUAACCAGCCGAAAGGUUGGCUAAUACCGCGUACGCCUCCGGAUCUUCGGGUUCGGAGGGAAAGCCACACUGUGAGUGCGGCGCUCUUUGAUGAGCUCAUGUCCUAUCAGCUUGUUGGUAGGGUAAUGGCCUACCAAGGCGACGAUGGUUAGCUGGUCUGAGAGGAUGAUCAGCCACACUGGAACUGAAACACGGUCCAGACUCCUACGGGAGGCAGCAGUGAGGAAUUUUGCGCAAUAGGGGAAACCCUGACGCAGCAACGCCGCGUGAGUGAAGAAGGCCUUCGGGUCGUAAAGCUCUGUCAAGUGGGACAAAAUCCUGUGGGUAAAUAGCCCGCAGGAGUGAUGGUACUGCUAGAGGAAGCACCGGCUAACUCCGUGCCAGCAGCCGCGGUAAUACGGAGGGUGCAAGCGUUGUUCGGAAUUACUGGGCGUAAAGCGCGUGCAGGCGGUUCGGUAAGUCAGAUGUGAAAGCCCUGGGCUCAACCCAGGAAGUGCAUUUGAUACUGCCGAGCUAGAGUAUGGGAGAGGAGAGUGGAAUUCCCAGUGUAGAGGUGAAAUUCGUAGAUAUUGGGAGGAACACCCGUGGCGAAGGCGACUCUCUGGACCAAUACUGACGCUGAGACGCGAAAGCGUGGGGAGCAAACAGGAUUAGAUACCCUGGUAGUCC